UUAAUAGUAAGGCUUUAACUUAUCUAGAGGUCUCAGUGUUUGAAUUCUUAUGUCUGCAAAGUGGAAAUAUUUUUAUUUUCAUACACUAUGCUGUUCAUGUGGAUGUGGUUAGGUUAGAUUCGAAUUUUGAUCAGCUUAUUAGGAUAGCAACUAAUGGGAUUUAAUAAGAUUUUAUCUGGUUCAUAUUUAUUUUUAAAAUUUUUUUUUAGAGAAGUAUUCUCCCUAAAGUUCUCCCACGUUUCUCUCCCACUCCCCACCUUACGUCUAGCUUCCCCAUUUUCCAUUUUCUCAUUUGUUUUGUUUUGAUGAUAGCUUACUGGUAAAUUCUCUCUGAUUUCUUUCUCUCAUUUUUUUUUUUUCCAAAUUUUCUCUUCUUUCUUGCUCGUUAUUUUCUUUACUGUCCCAACUUCGGUGGUUGGCGUUUGUCCUGGUGCUGAUGUGUUCAUGUGUGGUAAAAUCACCGGGUAAGAGUAUGGCAUUUCUAUUAGUGUUGUAGUAUUUCUAUUUCUUGUCGUUAAGUUUCAUAAGGUAUUGGAAUAAUCUUUCAAGUGGUUGAAGGGUUCUAGUAUGAUCUUUUUAAUGUACUGAUAGGAGAAGAUCGGGAGAUGCGUGAAUUGUCUCUAGCGAAUUAGAGAAUUUGUUGGGCUCCUAUUCUGUUGGGUAGGUCGUUAAUGUUUCUGAUUAGGGGUUGAUUCAUUUGUUUACGCCAAAUGUUUAGCACUUGUGAUCGAAUUAGUGACUUGGAUUUAGCAUAUUAUUGAUAAUUCUAAUGUUCUAAAUAUUGAUUUUAGGUGCUGGAAUUACCGCUGUGGUGAGGGCAUCAAAAAAUGAUCAUGUGUGUAAUGAAAAUCUCGAAAAACAACAAACGACAUGAUGCCAAAAACUUAUUGUUGACGCUACACAGCUGUGUGGGCCACAUGGGUUGAGUUAAGUGGGUCGUGUGGACCACACGGGUUGGGCCAGUUAGGUCGUGUGGGCUAUAUGGGCAUGUGAGCCCAUUUUCUAUAAAUUUAGUUAGUGUAGUAUUCGAAGUUUGAUUUAAGGUUAGCCACUUUGUAGGUUCCGUAAUGUGUUUUGUUGGUCAUUAAAUUGUGAAAUAUGAUAUUCUGCUUAUGUUAUUACAAAUUCUGAAAGCAUGAUAGUAUGUUCUAAUAUGUAUAGCAUGUAUGAUAUAUAUGCAUUUGUUAUCCGAUUAGUGUUUGCAUGUGCAUUGGGAUAGGGUAAUGAUGUGACGGAUGAAGUGUGACAGUUUAAUGAUCUGCCUUAUCUGGUGGUUUUAACAACAUACCUGUUCUGGUGACUUGACCACACUUAUGUAAUUUUGGCGGUUUACUGCAUUAUUUCUGUCAGCUUGACUGCAUUAUUUUGAAAAGUAACAUAUGCUCACUUAUAGGUGUGCGAGAUUUGAUGAGUAUUUAAUUACCCUAAUUGGUGUGUAGGGAUGGGCGAAGAUGGUGUAGCGGAUGGGGGUAGGAUCUAUUUUUGUAUCUGAAUUUGAAUCUGUAUUUACAUUUGUAACUGUGCCUAAAUUUGUACUGUGACUGUAUUUGUUCUGUUCUGUUUGUUUGGGUUGAGUUACACAUUGAGCUUGUUAGCUCACCUAGACGACGUAAGGGAGCUGAGACCAAAUUCUUGGUAAUAAAAUGGUUAUUAAAAGACUUUGCCUUUUUAAUGGACUUUUUAGUCCUUUC
rnacentral:lncRNA from 1 species